rnacentral:rRNA from 1 species
CCGGUGAAGUGUUCGGAUUGCGGCGACGUGGGCGGUUCGCUGCCCGCGACGUUGUGAGAAGUCCACUGAACCUUAUCAUUUAGAGGAAGGAGAAGUCGUAACAAGGUUUUCCGUAGGUGAACCUGCGGAAGGAUCAUUG